GGGCACGGGGGGAACCGUCGACAGUCAGGCAACGAGCGAGACCCACGCCAACAGUUGCUAGCUCGUCCUCCGGGAUGGAGAGGACACUGUUGGGACCGCCUCUGCUAAAGAGGAGGAAGGAAUGGGCAACGGUAGGUCAGCAUGCCCCGAAUUAACUGGGCUACACGCGGGCUACAAUGGGUGGGACAAUGGGUAUCGACACCGAAAGGUGAAGGCAAUCUCCUAAACCCAUCCUUAGUUCGGAUUGUGGGCUGCAACUCGCCCACAUGAAGCUGGAAUCCGUAGUAAUCGUAUCUCAAUAUGGUACGGUGAAUAUGUCCCUGCUCCUUGCACGAAUUCGCCG
rnacentral:rRNA from 1 species